GAUAAACGCUGGCGGCGUGUCUAAUGCAUGCAAGUCGAACGGAUAGUUAGCAAUAGCUAUUAGUGGCAAACGGGUGAGUAACACGUGGGGAUCUGCCCAGUAGUGGGGAACAACUCCUCGAAGAGGAGCUAAUACCGCAUACGGUAGCUGUAGAGGUACAGCAUACUAAAGCCUUUCGGGGCGCUAUUGGAGGAACCUGCGGCUGAUUAGCUAGUUGGUGGGAAGGCCUACAGCGAUGAUCAGUAGCUGGUCUGAGAGGAUGGACAGCCACACUGGGACU
rnacentral:rRNA from 1 species